rnacentral:rRNA from 1 species
GACGAACCGUGCAAACGUUGUUCGGAAUAACUGGGCUUAAAGGGCGCGUAGGCGGGCCAGCCAGUCUGUGGUGAAAGCCUCCAGCUUAACUGGAGAAGUGCCGUGGAUACUGCUGGCCUCGAGGAGGGUAGUGGCAUCUUGAACGGUCGGUGGAGCGGUGAAAUGCGUUGAUAUCGACCGGAACUCCGGUGGCGAAGGCGAGGUGCUGGGCCCUUUCUGACGCUGAGUGCGCGAAAGCCAGGGGAGCAAACGGG